AUUGAACGCUGGCGGCAGGCUUAACACAUGCAAGUCGAGCGGGGUGAUGGUGCUUGCACUAUCACUUAGCGGCGGACGGAUGAGUAAUGCUUAGGAAUCUGCCUAUUAGUGGGGGACAACAUCUCGAAAGGGAUGCUAAUACCGCAUACGUCCUACGGGAGAAAGCAGGGGAUCACUUGUGACCUUGCGCUAAUAGAUGAGCCUAAGUCGGAUUAGCUAGUUGGUGGGGUAAAGGCCUACCAAGGCGACGAUCUGUAGCGGGUCUGAGAGGAUGAUCCGCCACACUGGGACUGAGACACGGCCCAGACUCCUACGGGAGGCAGCAGUGGGGAAUAUUGGACAAUGGGGGGAACACUGAUCCAGCCAUGCCGCGUGUGUGAAGAAGGCCUUAUGGUUGUAAAGCACUUUAAGCGAGGAGGAGGCUCUUUUGGUUAAUACCCAAGAUGAGUGGACGUUACUCGCAGAAUAAGCACCGGCUAACUCUGUGCCAGCCGCCGCAGUAA
rnacentral:rRNA from 1 species